GUGGUUAAGUGGUAAACGAUGUGGGAAGGCUUAGACAGCUAGGAGGUUGGCUUAGAAGCAGCCAUCCUUUAAAGAAAGCGUAAUAGCUCACUAGUCGAGUCGGCCUGCGCGGAAGAUGUAACGGUGCUCAAACCACACACCGAAGCUGCGGGUGUCACGUAAGUGACUCGGUAGAGGAGCGUUCUGUAAGCCUGUGAAGGUGAGUUGAGAAGCUUGCUGGAGGUAUCAGAAGUGCGAAUGCUGACAUGAGUAACGACAAUGGGUGUGAAAAACACCCACGCCGAAAGA
rnacentral:rRNA from 1 species